UAGGGAAUAUUGGGCAAUGGAGGGAACUCUGACCCAGCCAUGCCGCGUGUGUGAAGAAGGUCUUCGGAUUGUAAAGCACUUUAAGUUGGGAGGAAGGGCAGUAAGUUAAUACCUUGCUGUUUUGACGUUACCGACAGAAUAAGCACCGGCUAACUCUGUGCCAGCAGCCGCGGUAAUACAGAGGGUGCAAGCGUUAAUCGGAAUUACUGGGCGUAAAGCGCGCGUAGGUGGUUUGUUAAGUUGGAUGUGAAAGCCCCGGGCUCAACCUGGGAACUGCAUCCAAAACUGGCAAGCUAGAGUACGGUAGAGGGUGGUGGAAUUUCCUGUGUAGCGGUGAAAUGCGUAGAUAUAGGAAGGAACACCAGUGGCGAAGGCGACCACCUGGACUGAUACUGACACUGAGGUGCGAAAGCGUGGGGAGCAAACAGGAUUAGAUACCCACGUAGUCCCUGAGCGGGCUGGCAAGGCGCAU
rnacentral:rRNA from 1 species